rnacentral:rRNA from 1 species
UACGUAGGGUGCAAGCGUUUAAUCGGAAUUACUGGGCGUAAAGCGUGCGCAGGCGGCUAUGCAAGACAGAUGUGAAAUCCCCGGGCUCAACCUGGGAACUGCAUUUGUGACUGCAUAGCUAGAGUACGGUAGAGGGGGGAUGGAAUUCCGCGUGUAGCAGUGAAAUGCGUAGAUAUGCGGGAGGAACACCGAUGGCGAAGGCAAUCCCCCUGGACCUGUACUGACGC